GUUGCUUGAGUUCAGUAGGGUUUUGACGUUUAUCAAUGCGCUCUCAUUCAGUGAGAACAGGUUGGGCAUCUCCUUAUCUCUGGCAUACACGUUAGUUACACUCCAAACACACAUCGCAUUUCAACGAACGCAACGUCGUGCUAACGAGAAUAUGGCAAAUAUUUGACGCCACAAAUUAGUUUUGAUCAAAUAACAUUUUUACUUAAAAGUGCUUAUUUAAAGUGAAAUUUUUUGCGCAUUCGCGAAACAUAAAAGCUCAAAAUGUCAGCAAAAAGUGAUAAAGUGCCUAAGACAGGAGCGCCGGCUGCGGCGGCGACGUCAUCGUCGAGAAGAGCGCCCUACUCCAUUUGGCUGCAGUUGCAAAGUCUCCUCAACACUAUCAAUCACAUUUUGAUCGCACUAAUUGGCGUCUACUUCACCGCCUUGGGACGCAGUCUGGACUUCCAAAACACCGCUAUGCAUGCCUUCCUAACCACCAUUGGGUUCCAUGUCUUAAUGGCCGAAGCGCUCAUGUCACAUUAUCCAAUCAACUUCGUAACGAAUCGUUUCGCUCACCGCACUAAAUCAAAAAUUCACGGUGUCCUACAAUUGGUGGGUGGUGCCAUGGCUUUGCUGGGCGCGCUUGGUAAAAUCUCGCAGACGGAAGUGCACUUCACCACGUUGCAUGGCAAAAUAGGUCUUGCUGCCACAUUCUUCUGCUUCGCCAGUAUUACCGGCGGCAUCGUCAACUAUUUCCAACCAAGUUUCGUACAUAAAUUUUACACACCGGCCGUGGUGAAAUGCAGGCACAAUUUCUUUGGUAUGGUCACCUUUACGCUGGGCAUGUGGAGCAUACUCAUCGGCUACCGCACAAAGUUCACCUAUAAACAUGUGGAUCCGGAAUUUAUUGCGGCCUUAAGUUUGGCGACGCUUUUGGUGUAUAUCUUCACAAUGAUUGCGCCGAUGCGUUCAUUUUUAGACAAACUUAAAUAUAGGAAGCCACAUCGUAAAUAAGCACUUACUACAUGCUUAUACUAAGUAUGCUUACUCGUAGUUUUUUUGAAGUAUUUAGCAGUGGCGAUAAGAAUUAAAAUUAAAAUUGUGAAAUGUGAAGAGUUAUAAGCUUAUACCAUCUGAUCAAAUAUGACCCGGAUCUAACACAAAUACAGGUUGGUUGAUAAUUUUAUGCUCUCACUAAGAAAUAGCACUACUACUCCAAUUUUUUUUCUCAAGUUGGUACAUCUGUCUUGUGAACACAUGCAAAGCUACAAGUCAUUCUGAAAAAUAAUUUUUUGUUUACAAGCCAUUUGAAGUUGACGUGUCAGAGUAUUUUUUUUAUAUGGAAAAAAAUUAAAUAUCACGCAGAGAUUAGAUUCUUUGUUUUGAAAGGUUUAAAAGCAAAGAAAAUUUAUGUUCAAUUGUUAGAAGUGUAUAAGGAGUCCUCACCUUUAAAACGCAUCGUUGAAUUUUGGGCUUGUGAAUUUAAACGUAGUCGUACUAAGCUUGAAGACGAUACACGCGAAGGACGACCAAAAACCGCAACCACACCAGAAAUCGUGAGCAAGUUCAUAGUAUUGUUAGUGAAGAUCAAAGUUUGAAUAAGCUUCAUAUUUUACAUGGAGAAUUACAUAUGAAAUAGCUGUUUGGAAAGUUAGUGCCGCGCACAUGUUAACAAUUCAACAAAAACUGGUUCAAAAACACAUUUCUCAGCAUAAUUUGUAGCGUUUUAAGAAUAAAACCGAUUUCUUGCGUCAUAUAACGUUGGAUGAGACUUGGAUCUACCGCCAUGAUCCUAAAUUGAAACAAGAACAUUUACAGUGGACUGAAGCUGGUUGUACAGCUCCAAAGCAGGUGAAGUCACAACGAUCAGGUUAAAGCAUAGUUUUUUUGGGAUGCAAAAGGAAGGAAGGUUGAUUGAUUAUCUGCAGAAAGGUAAAACAAUCAACUCUGAAUACUAUUAAAUUUUGGAUUGGCUGAAUGAAAAAAUUCGUGAGAAAAGACAAGCGACUACUAACUCUUCAGAAACCUGAAACAAUUCCUGCGUGGAAUGAAGAAGCUAUUACAGCAGUAGACGGGCAUUUUGCAGAGCUUCUGGAAAGUCAUUAUAGGGAUAGCAUAAAAUUAUUAGAGGACCAUUGGAAUAAGUGUACCAUUGGAAUAAGUGUGUUAAGGGAGAUCAUAUUGAAUAAAAAAAUAUAUUUCGUACCAAAAA